AAUGAGUACUCGGAUAGUAGUGUAAGGCAACUCGUAUCCAAGUACUCAGGGAAAGGAAUAGAAGGCUUUAGAACACCUCUUUUUUCGUCUAAGUUAUUUAUAAAAAGGAGUUUGAUUAAGUCGACUAAGAAUUUUUUUAAUGGAUAACGAUUUCUCGAGUGGUCGAGUAAGGGAACUAGUAUCCAAACAACCGAGGAGAGGAGUUGAAGGCUUGAGACUAUCUCCAUUUUCAUCCUUAAUGAAAGGGUUUAGAUAUUGUUAACGUAUUUUAGAUAAACG
rnacentral:lncRNA from 1 species